rnacentral:rRNA from 1 species
UACGGAGGGGACUAGCGUUGUUCGGAAUUACUGGGCGUAAAGGGCUCGUAGGCGGCCAACUAAGUCAGACGUGAAAUCCCUCGGCUUAACCGGGGAACUGCGUCUGAUACUGGAUGGCUUGAGGUUGGGAGAGGGAUGCGGAAUUCCAGGUGUAGCGGUGAAAUGCGUAGAUAUCUGGAGGAACACCGGUGGCGAAGGCGGCAUCCUGGACCAAUUCUGACGCUGAGGAGCGAAAGCCAGGGGAGCAAACGGG